rnacentral:rRNA from 1 species
UGGGGAAUAUUGCACAAUGGGCGCAAGCCUGAUGCAGCCAUGCCGCGUGUAUGAAGAAGGCCUUCGGGUUGUAAAGUACUUUCAGUCGGGAGGAAGGCGGUGAGGUUAAUAACCUCAUCGAUUGACGUUACCCGCAGAAGAAGCACCGGCUAACUCCGUGCCAGCAGCCGCGGUAAUACGGAGGGUGCAAGCGUUAAUCGGAAUUACUGGGCGUAAAGCGCACGCAGGCGGUUGAUUGAGUCAGAUGUGAAAUCCCCGGGCUUAACCCGGGAAUUGCAUCUGAUACUGGUCAGCUAGAGUCUUGUAGAGGGGGGUAGAAUUCCAUGUGUAGCGGUGAAAUGCGUAGAGAUGUGGAGGAAUACCGGUGGCGAAGGCGGCCCCCUGGACAAAGACUGACGCUCAGGUGCGAAAGCGUGGGGAGCAAACAGG